GGUGGUAAUGCCGGAUGCUCCAGUUGACCGCAUGUUCUUCUGGGAAAGAUUCAUCGGUAUGGGAUGGGGUCGCGUCCUAUCAGCUUGAUGGCGGGGUAACGGCCCACCAUGGCUUCGACGGGUAGCCGGCCUGAGAGGGCGACCGGCCACAUUGGGACUGAGAUACGGCCCAGACUCCUACGGGAGGCAGCAGUGGGGAAUAUUGCACAAUGGGCGCAAGCCUGAUGCAGCGACGCCGCGUGCGGGAUGACGGCCUUCGGGUUGUAAACCGCUUUUGACUGGGAGCAAGCCCUUCGGGGUGAGUGUACCUUUCGAAUAAGCACCGGCUAACUACGUGCCAGCAGCCGCGGUAAUACGUAGGGUGCAAGCGUUAUCCGGAAUUAUUGGGCGUAAAGGGCUCGUAGGCGGUUCGUCGCGUCCGGUGUGAAAGUCCAUCGCUUAACGGUGGAUCCGCGCCGGGUACGGGCGGGCUUGAGUGCGGUAGGGGAGACUGGAAUUCCCGGUGUAACGGUGGAAUGUGUAGAUAUCGGAA
rnacentral:rRNA from 1 species